rnacentral:lncRNA from 1 species
UGCUUAGACAUAAAUUGUUCAAUAUUGAUACAUCAUCAGAAGCCCUCUUGACUGCAUAAUUCCUAAACUUCUUUUUGAAUAGAACUUGUUUGUCGAUGAACAUGUUAAAUUCCGGCGGAUAAUCAACAUCUUUGUUUGCCUGUCCCUAAACACGAAUAAACAGCAUGUUUCAAAGCUUACUAUCACUGCUAAAUUGCCUUUCUGAAUACUUACAGCUUUGCAUUAUAAAUGAAAACGUUCGUUACCUGCCCAAACGAAUCAUCAAAUCUUGAACAUUGUAUCCAAAGCAUAUGAGACAAUCUGA